GCAGUCGAACGAACUUCCGUUAAUUGAUUAUGACGUACUUGUACUGAUUGAGAUUUUAACACGAAGUGAGUGGCGAACGGGUGAGUAACACGUGGGUAACCUGCCCAGAAGUAGGGGAUAACACCUGGAAACAGAUGCUAAUACCGUAUAACAGAGAAAACCGCAUGGUUUUCUUUUAAAAGAUGGCUCUGCUAUCACUUCUGGAUGGACCCGCGGCGUAUUAGCUAGUUGGUGAAGUAAAGGCUCACCAAGGCAGUGAUACGUAGCCGACCUGAGAGGGUAAUCGGCCACAUUGGGACUGAGACACGGCCCAGACUCCUACGGGAGGCAGCAGUAGGGAAUCUUCCACAAUGGACGCAAGUCUGAUGGAGCAACGCCGCGUGAGUGAAGAAGGGUUUCGGCUCGUAAAGCUCUGUUGUUAAAGAAGAACGUGGGUAAGAGUAACUGUUUACCCAGUGACGGUAUUUAACCAGAAAGCCACGGCUAACUACGUGCCAGCAGCCGCGGUAAUACGUAGGUGGCAAGCGUUAUCCGGAUUUAUUGGGCGUAAAGCGAGCGCAGGCGGUCUUUUAAGUCUAAUGUGAAAGCCUUCGGCUCAACCGAAGAAGUGCAUUGGAAACUGGGAGACUUGAGUGCAGAAGAGGACAGUGGAACUCCAUGUGUAGCGGUGAAAUGCGUAGAUAUAUGGAAGAACACCAGUGGCGAAGGCGGCUGUCUGGUCUGCAACUGACGCUGAGGCUCGAAAGCAUGGGUAGCGAACAGGAUUAGAUACCCUGGUAGUCCAUGCCGUAAACGAUGAUUACUAAGUGUUGGAGGGUUUCCGCCCUUCAGUGCUGCAGCUAACGCAUUAAGUAAUCCGCCUGGGGAGUACGACCGCAAGGUUGAAACUCAAAAGAAUUGACGGGGGCCCGCACAAGCGGUGGAGCAUGUGGUUUAAUUCGAAGCUACGCGAAGAACCUUACCAGGUCUUGACAUCUUCUGACAGUCUAAGAGAUUAGAGGUUCCCUUCGGGGACAGAAUGACAGGUGGUGCAUGGUUGUCGUCAGCUCGUGUCGUGAGAUGUUGGGUUAAGUCCCGCAACGAGCGCAACCCUUAUUACUAGUUGCCAGCAUUAAGUUGGGCACUCUAGUGAGACUGCCGGUGACAAACCGGAGGAAGGUGGGGACGACGUCAAAUCAUCAUGCCCCUUAUGACCUGGGCUACACACGUGCUACAAUGGAUGGUACAACGAGUCGCGAGACCGCGAGGUUAAGCUAAUCUCUUAAAACCAUUCUCAGUUCGGACUGUAGGCUGCAACUCGCCUACACGAAGUCGGAAUCGCUAGUAAUCGCGGAUCAGCAUGCCGCGGUGAAUACGUUCCCGGGCCUUGUACACACCGCCCGUCACACCAUGAGAGUUUGUAACACCCAAAGCCGGUGGGGUAAC
rnacentral:rRNA from 1 species